rnacentral:rRNA from 1 species
UACGGAGGGUGCGAGCGUUAAUCGGAAUUACUGGGCGUAAAGGGCGCGUAGGCGGUGGGUUAAGUCUGCCGUGAAAUCCCCGGGCUCAACCUGGGAAUGGCGGUGGAAACGGGCUGACUGGAGUAUGGGAGAGGGUGAUGGAAGUCCAGGUGUAGCGGUGAAAUGCGUAGAGAUCUGGAGGAACACCAGUGGCGAAGGCGGUCACCUGGACCAAUACUGACGCUGAGGCGCGAAAGCGUGGGGAGCAAACAGG